ACAUAACGUUACCCCACAACCAAGUCUCCUUUGACUGACCAGGCUCCCGCCGCUGGCCCAGACAGAGGGCUCAGCCAGGACCCAGACAGAAACACUGACGUAACAUACAGCUGACCGGUCAGUCGACCUGAACUGCUGACCAAGCAAGAGGGGAACCAAACCGUCUGCACCGGGAACAGGCGCGGAAACAGCGCUGAUGACCCUACCUGCUUCCGUGACGGGCGAGGAGCGAUCGGAUUGGCUGCAGAGCGAUGACGUAUCAAUCUGGUCCGAAGACGACUUGAGGAUAUUUUCCAUCAUGUCUGCGGCUUGCUUGGAAUGGUGGUGGUACUGUAAAACUAUUUUCUGACCUUGUGUGCUGCCCGCUGUGACGUCAACGGAGCUUUUGGUCGAUUGGAGGAGGAUACUAAACAGCUGAACCUCUUUCCAGACGGGUUUGGAUGGUGAUGAGAAUCUUGAUCUCUGUCACGCAAUAUUUUUCCUUUUUGAAGACUUGAUUCAUACACACUUAAAACAACUUACUCACACUGACAUCUAAACUGUCAGAACACUUUGGCACUGAGACGUAGCAAAAAUAUGUCCACGAUGCGAUCACGGACUCACCGGCACGGGAUUGAAAACACAUAAAUUCUUAUAUAAACAGCUCGCAAUUUGUACACACGUUGGUGUGUAUACCAGAAAAAUGUUAUAUACUAAAUAUCACAGAGCUUUUCACUCGGGUGUGUAUCUGCUGCAUGGAACAAUGAUAAUAAAGAAAACACGGUGUCAAAAAUGA